GCAUAUCAAUAAGCGGAGGAAAAGAAACUAACAAGGAUUCCCUAGUAACUGCGAGUGAAGCGGGAAAAGCUCAAAUUUAAAAUCCUUCGGGAAUUGUAGUCUCGAGAAGCGUUUUCGGCCGUGGCCUCGGACAAGUCCCUUGGAACAGGGCGUCAUAGAGGGUGAGAAUCCCGUCCUUGCCGAGCCCCCCACGUCUAUGUGAUACGCUUUCGAAGAGUCGAGUUGUUUGGGAAUGCAGCUCAAAAUGGGUGGUAAACUCCAUCUAAAGCUAAAUAUUGGCGAGAGACCGAUAGCGAACAAGUACCGUGAGGGAAAGAUGAAAAGCACUUUGGAAAGAGAGUUAAACAGUACGUGAAAUUGUUGAAAGGGAAGCGCUUGAAGUCAGUCGCGUCUGCGGAGACUCAGCCUCACGGCGCAUUUCUUCGUUGACGGGCCAACAUCAGUUUUGGCCGCGGGAAAAGGACCUGGGGAAUGUGGCAGCUCCGGCUGUGUUAUAGCCUCUUGUCGUACACCGCGGCUGGGACUGAGGACUGCUAACAGGAGUGCUAGUAACUGCGAGUGAAGCGGGAAAAGCUCAAAUUUAAAAUCCUUCGGGAAUUGUAGUCUCGAGAAGCGUUUUCGGCCGUGGCCUCGGACAAGUCCCUUGGAACAGGGCGUCAUAGAGGGUGAGAAUCCCGUCCUUGCCGAGCCCCCCACGUCUAUGUGAUACGCUUUCGAAGAGUCGAGUUGUUUGGGAAUGCAGCUCAAAAUGGGUGGUAAACUCCAUCUAAAGCUAAAUAUUGGCGAGAGACCGAUAGCGAACAAGUACCGUGAGGGAAAGAUGAAAAGCACUUUGGAAAGAGAGUUAAACAGUACGUGAAAUUGUUGAAAGGGAAGCGCUUGAAGUCAGUCGCGUCUGCGGAGACUCAGCCUCACGGCGCAUUUCUUCGUUGACGGGCCAACAUCAGUUUUGGCCGCGGGAAAAGGACCUGGGGAAUGUGGCAGCUCCGGCUGUGUUAUAGCCUCUUGUCGUACACCGCGGCUGGGACUGAGGACUGCUAACAGGAGUG
rnacentral:rRNA from 1 species